AUUGAACGCUAGCGGGAUGCUUUACACAUGCAAGUCGAACGAGUGGCGGACGGGUGAGUAAGAUAUCGGAACGUGCCCAGUAACGGGGUAUAAAUACUCGAAAGAGUGGCUAAUAACGCAUACUAUUGGAGCGGCCGAUAUCGGAUUAGCUAUGUGGUGGGGUAAAGGCUCACCAAGGCAACGAUCAGUAGCUGGUUUGAGAGGACGAACAGUAACACUGGGACUGAGACACGGCCCAGAAUCCUACGGGAGGCAGCAGUGGGGAAUUUUGGACAAUGGGGGAAACCCUGAUCCAGCAAUCCCGCGUGUAUGAGAAGGCCUUCGGGUUGUAAAGUACUUUUGGCAGAGAAGCGGUAUCUGCAGAAUAAGCACCGGCUAACUACGUGCCAGCAGCCGCGGUAAUUC
rnacentral:rRNA from 1 species